UACAGAGGGUGCAAGCGUUAAUCGGAGUUACUGGGCGUAAAGGGCGCGUAGGCGGUUAUUUAAGUGAGAUGUGAAAUCCCUGGGCUUAACCUAGGAACUGCAUCUCAUACUGGAUGACUUGAGUAUUGUAGAGGGUAGUGGAAUUUCCGGUGUAGCGGUGAAAUGCGUAGAGAUCGGAAGGAACACCAGUGGCGAAGGCGGCUACCUGGACAAAUACUGACGCUGAGGUGCGAAAGCGUGGGGAGCAAACAGG
rnacentral:rRNA from 1 species